GUCCUAGCCUUAAACGAUGCAUACUAGAUGUAAGAGGGCUCAACCCCUUUUGUAUCGGAGCUAACGCGUUAAGUAUGCCGCCUGGGGAGUACGCUCGCAAGGGUGAAACUCAAAAGAAUUGACGGGGCCCGCACAAGCAGUGGAGCAUGUGGUUUAAUUCGACGCAACGCGAAGAACCUUACCUGGGCUCGAAGUGCAGAUGACCAUCGGCGAAAGUCGACUUCCGCAAGGACAUCUGUAGAGGUGCUGCAUGGCUGUCGU
rnacentral:rRNA from 1 species